GCGGCGUGCUUAACACAUGCAAGUCGGACGGUGACGGGGAGCUUGCUUCCCUGAUCAGUGGCGAACGGGUGAGUAACACGUGAGUAACCUGCCCUUCACUCUGGGAUAACUCCGGGAAACCGGUGCUAAUACUGGAUAUGACCUGCUCGGGCAUCCGAUGUGGGUGGAAAGAUUUAUUGGUGGAGGAUGGACUCGCGGCCUAUCAGCUUGUUGGUGAGGUAAUGGCUUGCCAAGGCGACGACGGGUAGCCGGCCUGAGAGGGCGAUCGGCCACACUGGGACUGAGACACGGCCCAGACUCCUACGGGAGGCAGCAGUGGGGAAUAUUGCACAAUGGGCGAAAGCCUGAUGCAGCGACGCCGCGUGAGGGAUGAAGGCCUUCGGGUUGUAAACCUCUUUCAGCAGGGAAGAAGCGAUUGAGUUUUCUUUUUCGUGACGGUACCUGCAGAAGAAGCACCGGCUAACUACGUGCCAGCAGCCGCGGUAAUACGUAGGGUGCAAGCGUUGUCCGGAAUUAUUGGGCGUAAAGAGCUUGUAGGCGGUUUGUCGCGUCUGCUGUGAAAUUUCGGGGCUCAACCCCGAACUUGCAGUGGGUACGGGCAGACUAGAGUGUGGUAGGGGAGACUGGAAUUCCUGGUGUAGCGGUGAAAUGCGCAGAUAUCAGGAGGAACACCGAUGGCGAAGGCAGGUCUCUGGGCCACUACUGACGCUGAGAAGCGAAAGCAUGGGGAGC
rnacentral:rRNA from 1 species